CGGAAUUACUGGGCGUAAAGCGCACGCAGGCGGUCUGUCAAGUCGGAUGUGAAAUCCCCGGGCUCAACCUGGGAACUGCAUUCGAAACUGGCAGGCUUGAGUCUUGUAGAGGGGGGUAGAAUUCCAGGUGUAGCGGUGAAAUGCGUAGAGAUCUGGAGGAAUACCGGUGGCGAAGGCGGCCCCCUGGACAAAGACUGACGCUCAGGUGCGAAAGCGUGGGGAGCAAACAGGAUUAGAUACCCUGGUAGUCCACGCCGUAAACGAUGUCUACUUGGAGGUUGUGCCCUUGAGGCGUGGCUUCCGGAGCUAACGCGUUAAGUAGACCGCCUGGGGAGUACGGCCGCAAGGUUAAAACUCAAAUGAAUUGACGGGGGCCCGCACAAGCGGUGGAGCAUGUGGUUUAAUUCGAUGCAACGCGAAGAACCUUACCUGGUCUUGACAUCCACGGAAGUUUUCAGAGAUGAGAAUGUGCCUUCGGGAACCGUGAGACAGGUGCUGCAUGGCUGUCGUCAGCUCGUGUUGUGAAAUGUUGGGUUAAGUCCCGCAACGAGCGCAACCCUUAUCCUUUGUUGCCAGCGAUUAGG
rnacentral:rRNA from 1 species